rnacentral:rRNA from 1 species
AGUAACGCGUGGGUAACCUGCCUCAUACAGGGGGAUAACAGUUAGAAAUGACUGCUAAGACCGCAUAAUAUAGCGAAACCGCAUGAUUUUGCUAUCAAAUAUUUAUAGGUAUGAGAUGGGCCCGCGUCUGAUUAGCUAGUUGGUGGGGUAAAAGCCUACCAAGGCGACGAUCAGUAGCCGGCUUGAGAGAGUGACCGGCCACAUUGGGACUGAGACACGGCCCAAACUCCUACGGGAGGCAGCAGUGGGGAAUAUUGGACAAUGGGGGAAACCCUGAUCCAGCCGACGCCGCGUGAGUGAAGAAGUAUUUCGGUAUGUAAAGCUCUAUCAGCAGGGAAGAUAAUGACAGUACCUGACUAAGAAGCCCCGGCUAACUACGUGCCAGCCGCCGC